rnacentral:tRNA from 1 species
CAGAGGGUAGUUUAAGAGGAAUUUCAGCUUUGGGUGCUGAUGGUGGGGCAAGAGCCUCUUCUCUGA